rnacentral:pre_miRNA from 1 species
AGUGGAAUUGCUGGAUCAUACGGUAAUUCUAUGUUUAACUUUUUAAGGAACUGCCAAAAUGUUUUCCAUAAUUAUUGUGCCAUUUACAUUCCCACCAGCAAU